AAUCAACGCUGGCGGAAUGCUUUACACAUGCAAGUCGAACGAUGAAGCCUAGCUUGCUAGGUCGAUUAGUGGCGAACGGGUGAGUAAUAUAUCGGAACGUAUCCAAUAAUGGGGGAUAACUAGUCGAAAGAUUGGCUAAUACCGCAUACGUCCUACGGGAGAAAGCUGGGGAUCGUAAGACCUGGCGUUAAUGGAGCGGCCGAUAUCUGAUUAGCUAGUUGGUGAGGUAAAGGCUCACCAAGGCGACGAUCAGUAGCUGGUCUGAGAGGACGACCAGCCACACUGGAACUGAGACACGGUCCAGACUCCUACGGGAGGCAGCAGUGGGGAAUUUUGGACAAUGGGCGAAAGCCUGAUCCAGCCAUUCCGCGUGAGUGAAGAAGGCCUUCGGGUUGUAAAGCUCUUUCGCAAGGGAAGAACACUUACUUAAUAACACUAAGUGAGGUUGACGGUACCUUGAUAAGAAGCACCGGCUAACUACGUGCCAGCAGCCGCGGUAACAC
rnacentral:rRNA from 1 species